UGCCUAACACAUGCAAGUCGAACGAACCCUUCGGGGUUAGUGGCGCACGGGUGCGUAACGCGUGGGAAUCUGCCCUUUGCUUCGGAAUAACAGUUAGAAAUGACUGCUAAUACCGGAUGAUGUCUUCGGACCAAAGAUUUAUCGGCAAGGGAUGAGCCCGCGUAGGAUUAGGUAGUUGGUGGGGUAAAGGCCUACCAAGCCGACGAUCCUUAGCUGGUCUGAGAGGAUGAUCAGCCACACUGGGACUGAGACACGGCCCAGACUCCUACGGGAGGCAGCAGUGGGGAAUAUUGGACAAUGGGCGCAAGCCUGAUCCAGCAAUGCCGCGUGAGUGAUGAAGGCCUUCGGGUCGUAAAGCUCUUUUACCAGGGAUGAUAAUGACAGUACCUGGAGAAUAAGCUCCGGCUAACUCCGUGCCAGCAGCCGCGGUAAUACGGAGGGAGCUAGCGUUGUUCGGAAUUACUGGGCGUAAAGCGCACGUAGGCGGCGACACAAGUCAGAGGUGAAAGCCCGGGGCUCAACCCCGGAACUGCCUUUGAAACUAGGUUGCUAGAAUCUUGGAGAGGUCAGUGGAAUUCCGAGUGUAGAGGUGAAAUUCGUAGAUAUUCGGAAGGACACCAGUGGCGAAGGCGACUGACUGGACAAGUAUUGACGCUGAGGUGCGAAAGCGUGGGGAGCAAACAGG
rnacentral:rRNA from 1 species